UACAGAGGUCUCAAGCGUUGUUCGGAUUCAUUGGGCGUAAAGGGUGCGUAGGCGGCGCGGUUAAGUCGGGGUGUGAAAUCUCGGGCUUAACUCCGAAACUGCAUUCGAUACUGCCGUGCUUGAGGACUGGAGAGGAGACUGGAAUUUACGGUGUAGCGGUGAAAUGCGUAGAUAUCGUAAGGAAGACCAGUGGCGAAGGCGGGUCUCU
rnacentral:rRNA from 1 species